CUUGCCCCUUUGCCCUUCGCGACCCUGACCUGGAUUAAGCGGUUUAGAGAAUGGAUGGAUGGGUAUGUAAAUGCAAUUUUAUUAGGAGGUGAGGGCACUUUUUCCACAUUGUUUAUGCCCCCCCUCUACUAGUUUGAUUUUACUGCAGGAAUGAAAAACUCCUGGAUCACCAGGAUCACAUCAUUAUUUCAGAAAUGGUCUGUAAAUGUCAGUCUACCAAACAUCAAAUGGAGCAAAGACAACAUCGUCUGGCAAUGACAAAGGUGUCUGAGACCGGGGAUCCCCUACGAUGGAGAGAGAGAGCCGGAGCCUGCACGAUGUAUGCAGCUGAAAAGCGACCCGUACAAUUUCAUUUAUUUUGUCUUGUUUUAGUUUGUUUUUUCCCAGAUCCUGUGAGGAUGAUGGGCAAAGGUUUUUCAUUUGUAUUUUGCUAAUUGCUCUCUCUCUCUUGCUCUCAAUAAAACGCCGGAGAUAUCCGGAAUUUCCACAUCUCCCUGUGUCCAGCUCUUCUGUCCCUUCCAGGGUAGUCACGGCAUGUGACAUUAUCUCUCUCUGUAAAAAUACAACAUUUUGUGAAGCAUAUAAAUAGUAAUGCUAACACUUUAGACCUGGCUGAG